GCCGCUGUAGCUCAAUGGAAGAGCAGUUCCGUCCUAAGGAAAGGGUUGGGGGUUCGAGUCCCUCCAGCGGCA
rnacentral:tRNA from 1 species